rnacentral:lncRNA from 1 species
AAACUAAUCCAUCAUAUUUUUGCUUCGGUUCCGUUGUUGAUUUACCCUUUGGACAGAAACCAAGUUUACAAUGUUAUUCCGGCAGUGCUCCGUGAAUCUGUCCACUGGGGUCGUUUCAUCUUCCGUCGGAAGAUAUUAUUCGGACAUCAGGGUGCAGCAUUUCGAUUUCUCAGUCACGCAUAGGAACAUCUGAAAAUUGAUCGAGCUGAUGGAAGACCACCGACGGUGAGUAAACUACAUUGGUAAAAGGUCCGUGGAUUUGCACGACAGCGAGCAACAACCCAACCCCACCGAUCGGUAGUAGGACAGUAGGCGACGCUUUGAAAUCGACGGAAAAAGAAUCAAAUGAUCAUGCGAAAUAUCACUUUGCACUCAACGUUCCCUGCGCAACUGUGUCCGGUGCCAAUACCAACCCCACGUGAGUGACCAAUCGGAUAGCCGCUUAUGUGGUCGGGAUCGGAUUCAACCUAUCAUCUUUUCAUAAAGUAGACGACUCUUCCAAGGAUCCAAAGCGAAAGGAUGUCUGAUGUUGCAGGUCAGGUAAAACGACGAGGUCAUUUAAGGAGGACUAAUGUUUUGGACUGGCACUGGAUUACGGGACGAAUGACCCUCGUGUUAAAGUCCCCCUCAGCAAAUAACAACAACUAGCACUGGCAGAAUCAAUUAUUGAAACCUAGCAAUUAUUCCGCUAUUGCUGAGGAAACAGUGAAAUAAAAGCGAUAAAAAUUUAAUUUUAA